GACGGGGCCGCACAAGCGGUGGAGCAUGUGGUUUAAUUCGACGCAACGCGAAGAACCUUUACCAGGAAUUGACAUCCCCUGACAACUUAUGAAAGUAGGUCUUCUACCUUCGGGUAGACAGGGAGACAGGUGGUGCAUGGUUGUCGUCAGCUCGUGUCGUGAGAUGUUGGGUUAAGUCCCGCAACGAGCGCAACCCUUACGGUUAGUUGCCAGCGGUUAAAGCCGGGCACUCUAGCUGAACUGCCGUUGACAAAAACGGAGGAAGGUGGGGAUGACGUCAAAUCAUCAUGCCCUUUAUAUCCUGGGCUACACACGUGCUACAAUGGCCUGUACAGAGGGCAGCGAAGGGGCAACCUGGAGCGAAUCCCAAAAAGCAGGUCUCAGUUCGGAUUGCAGGCUGCAACUCGCCUGCAUGAAGUCGGAAUCGCUAGUAAUCGCAGGUCAGCAUACUGCGGUGAAUACGUUCCCGGGCCUU
rnacentral:rRNA from 1 species